rnacentral:rRNA from 1 species
GACGAACGCUGGCGGCGUGCUUAACACAUGCAAGUCGAACGGGCUGAAGUGAUAGCUUGCUAUUAUGGAUGCUAGUGGCAAACGGGUGAGUAACGCGUAUCCAACCUACCCUUGUCCAUCGGAUAACCCGUCGAAAGGCGGCCUAACACGAUAUGCGGUUCACCGCAGGCAUCUAAGGUGAACGAAAUGUGAAGGAGAAGGAUGGGGAUGCGUCUGAUUAGCUUGUUGGCGGGGUAACGGCCCACCAAGGCGACGAUCAGUAGGGGUUCUGAGAGGAAGGUCCCCCCACAUUGGAACUGAGACACGGUCCAAAACUCCUACGGGAGGCAGCAGUGAGGAAUAUUGGUCAAUGGGCGAGAGCCUGAACCAGCCAAGUAGCGUGCAGGAUGACGGCCCUAUGGGUUGUAAACUGCUUUUAUAAGGGAAUAAAGUGAGUCUCGUGAGACUUUUUGCAUGUACCUAUGAAUAAGGACCGGCUAAUUCCGUGCCAGCAGCCGC